rnacentral:piRNA from 1 species
UGACACAAAUGGCAGAGCACAGGAACA